rnacentral:rRNA from 1 species
AAAUUGAAGAGUUUGAUCAUGGCUCAGAUUGAACGCUGGCGGCAGGCCUAACACAUGCAAGUCGAACGGUAGCACAGAGAGCUUGCUCUCGGGUGACGAGUGGCGGACGGGUGAGUAAUGUCUGGGAAACUGCCCGAUGGAGGGGGAUAACUACUGGAAACGGUAGCUAAUACCGCAUAACGUCGCAAGACCAAAGUGGGGGACCUUCGGGCCUCACACCAUCGGAUGUGCCCAGAUGGGAUUAGCUAGUAGGUGGGGUAACGGCUCACCUAGGCGACGAUCCCUAGCUGGUCUGAGAGGAUGACCAGCCACACUGGAACUGAGACACGGUCCAGACUCCUACGGGAGGCAGCAGUGGGGAAUAUUGCACAAUGGGCGCAAGCCUGAUGCAGCCAUGCCGCGUGUAUGAAGAAGGCCUUCGGGUUGUAAAGUACUUUCAGCGAGGAGGAAGGCGUUGUGGUUAAUAACCACAGCGAUUGACGUUACUCGCAGAAGAAGCACCGGCUAACUCCGUGCCAGCAGCCGCGGUAAUACGGAGGGUGCAAGCGUUAAUCGGAAUUACAGGGCGUAAAGCGCACGCAGGCGGUUUGUUAAGUCAGAUGUGAAAUCCCCGGGCUCAACCUGGGAACUGCAUUUGAAACUGGCAAGCUUGAGUCU